GAAUUCAACUCCUACGGGAGGCAGCAGUGGGGAAUAUUGGACAAUGGGCGGAAGCCUGAUCCAGCAACGCCGCGUGAGGGAUGACGGCCUUCGGGUUGUAAACCUCUUUCGUCAUCGACGAAGCUCCAUGUUGAUUGGGGUGACGGUAGGUGAGGAAGAAGCACCGGCCAACUACGUGCCAGCAGCCGCGGUAAUACGUAGGGUGCGAGCGUUUUCCGGAAUUAUUGGGCGUAAAGGGCUCGUAGGCGGUUUGUCGCGUCGGGAGUGAAAACACUGGGCUUAACCGAGCGCUUGCUUUCGAUACGGGCAGACUUGAGGCAUUGAGGGGAGGACGGAAUUCCUGGUGUAGCGGUGAAAUGCGCAGAUAUCAGGAGGAACACCGGUGGCGAAGGCGGUUCUCUGGCAAUGUUCUGACGCUGAGGAGCGAAAGUGCGGGGAGCGAACAGGAUUAGAAACCCCAGUAGUCGAGGCGUU
rnacentral:rRNA from 1 species